AUUUGCCUCUGCAUCCAUUUGUUUGAUAGUGGAAUAUUUUGUUGUCUCGAGUCUCAAUGUGGAUUUCAUAGUAGUUCUUUGAAGUAUUAUGGCUAACAUAAAAAAUCCCAUCAAGUGUGGCAAAGCGAUAAAUCAAAACACCAAGUGCAAUAAAACAGAAACAUACAAGAAAAUAUCGUAAAUAUCGAACCAUCGUUCACAAGCCAAUGCAGGUCUCCGACAAUAUAUUAUGUAUAUAAUUUAUAAAUAGUGGUCAAAUCAAAAUAUAAAAUUGAAACAAGA